rnacentral:rRNA from 1 species
GACGAACGCUUGCGGCGUGCCUAAUACAUGCAAGUCGAACGCAGUGGGGACGGGUGAGUAACACGUGGGUAACCUCCCAUCAGAGGGGAUAACACUUGGAAACAGGUGCUAAACCGAUACUGAUGGAUGGACCCGCGGUUCAUUAGCUAGUUGGUGAGGUAACGGCUCACGAAGGCCACGCCUCACAGCCGACCUGAGAGGGUGAGCGGCCACCCUGGGACUGAGACACGGCCCAGACUCCUACGGGAGGCAGCAUGAGGGAAUCUUCGGCAAUGGACGAAAGUCUGACCGAGCAAAGCCGCGUGAGUGAAGAAGGUUUGCGGAUCGUAAAACGAUUUUGUUAGAGAAGCGGUAUCUAACCAGAAAGCCACGGCUAACUACGUGCCAGCAGCCGCGGUAAUAC